UUUUCGGUUUCCCGUCUCUCUCUCCUCUCUUGAUUCUUCUCCGGCAGCAGGCAGCGAGCACCCGGCGGCGGGGAUGUCAGCGGCGCGGCGGUCCGGCGAGGAGUGCGCGCGGCACUCAACUCGCCGGCGGGGGGGGGGGGGCGUGCGCGCCCGGAGGCGGCGGCUGCGCCCAAGCCGGCAGCUUCAUUCCCAUCAGCGCGAUGGACCGGCUGACGGUGGCGGCGCGCGCGGCGAAGCCAGCGCGGCCGAAGAGAGCCGAGACGACUGCGACCGCACGUGCACGCGCACGGGCAAAGCUCGCACGGCGCAGCGGCGGUGGUGGCGACCGCGCGCGCUCGCGUACGUGCGCACAGGCAAAACCCGCAUGGCACAGCGGCGGCGACGACGACCAAGCUCGCACACUCGUGGACGCACGUGGGGGCAGAGCCCUCACGGUGCGACGGCGGCGGCGGCUAAUUUCCUGGUACGGCAAUAGCAGCAAUCAUGGCGGCGACACGCAGUGGCCGAAGCCCACGCGACGGCGACGACGACGACUACUACCACCCCACAAUCCGCGGAUUUGUUGGAUCUGUGCUGAUUUCUUGUGAAGGAUGGUUACGUCAUGCGGGGAUAAAAGGAGGAGGUCUCGCACGUUCAUAGGGGCAGCUCAACAAUUUCUUCCAAGAAAAUCGUUGGUCAAGAGACUGACGCUAGGAGCUCGCGGCAAAGGCGAGGCGAUAUUGUUCUCUGGGAUAGUGUCAAUCCGACGCGCCUCACCAUUUCUCUGAGACAAUCACUGUGAGAUAUUUCUUUUGUGUUCUUCACUUUACUGGCAGCGAAUGCUCUAGUCAGGGUAGCCUUUGUUAUGUUAAUUCCCUGAUACUUGUGAACUAAGUAUUGUUUGAUGUCUUGAACAUGUGCGUUUGAGUAUGGAUAUUUGCAGUAAUUUUUGUAGGUGCUGCUAGUUCGUGUAGUCUAAUCCUCACGUUUUCUACUCGGUGAUAGUUGUUUAUAUUCAUAAAAGAGUAGUGUGUGUAUACAUAUAUGUCCAGGGGUUUUAUCUCUUUCAAUGUACAUAAUCUGAAUAUAUGGAGGCCUUUCAUAUCUGUAUCUUAUUUAAUUUUCUGAAUCAUAUGACAAGGAUGAUUAGA